CGGGCCUGCUGCUCGGCGCGGGCGCCUGCUACUGCAUUUACAGGCUGACCCGGGGUCGGCGGCGGGGCGACCGCGAGCUCGGGAUACGCUCUUCGAAGUCCGCAGAAGACUUAACUGAUGGUUCAUAUGAUGAUGUUCUAAAUGCUGAACAACUUCAGAAACUCCUUUACCUGCUGGAGUCAACUGAGGAUCCUGUAAUUAUUGAAAGAGCUUUGAUUACUUUGGGUAACAAUGCAGCCUUUUCAGUUAACCAAGCUAUUAUUCGUGAAUUGGGUGGUAUUCCAAUUGUUGCAAACAAAAUCAACCAUUCCAACCAGAGUAUUAAAGACAAAGCUUUAAAUGCACUAAAUAACCUGAGUGUGAAUGUUGAAAAUCAAAUCAAGAUAAAGAUAUACAUCAGUCAAGUAUGUGAGGAUGUCUUCUCUGGUCCUCUGAACUCUGCUGUGCAGCUGGCCGGACUGAGAUUGUUGACAAACAUGACUGUUACCAAUGACCACCAGCACAUGCUUCACAGUUACAUUACAGACCUGUUCCAGGUGUUACUUACUGGAAAUGGAAACACGAAGGUGGAUUCAUCAUUCCUUUCCCUUUAUGACAGCCACGUAGCAAAGGAGAUUCUUCUUCGAGUACUUACGCUAUUUCAGCAUAUAAAGAACUGCCUCAAAAUAGAAGGCCAUUUAGCUGUGCAGCCUACUUUCACUGAAGGUUCAUUGUUUUUCCUGUUACAUGGAGAAGAAUGUGCCCAGAAAAUAAGAGCUUUAGUUGAUCACCAUGAUGCAGAGGUGAAGGAAAAGGUUGUAACAAUAAUACCCAAAAUCUGAUUGGUCAUAUUUUUCCAAAGAGUAAUGCAGUCUGGAUAUAAACGUAUUUUCUGUCUUCCUUAUAAGGGGAUUCUCCCAGCUGCUGAAUUUAAAUAGUAAAUAUCACAUUUUGUUAUUAACACAGCUAUAACUUGCCGUGGUUCUCAGAUUUAUUUUGGACUAUUUUGAUGCCAAGUGAGUAUAAGAGCUUGUACUGAAACCAUUUAUUUCUUUCUAUUUUGCUAUUUGCAAAUGCUUGUUAUCUUCCCUACAUGAAGUGGCAGUAACCUUUUUCACAUUUAAGCUACCCUUCUACCUUUUGAAGUGAUUUGCAGUUACUCAUCUGAGACAGCAUCAGUAUUUGACUAAAUCAUUGUUUCACAACUGAAUAGUCUUGUUCUUUUAGUAGCAAUGAAAUCCUAAGCUCUUGAGGCCAUUCACCUGCCAACCUGACCAUACUGCUUUCAAAAGUCUUUUCUCAUCAGUAGAAUCUAUUUUGGUCACUUCUAGUCAAUGAAAAAUGUAAACUUUUAGGAGAGAAUGUUUCCUAGGACUCACCCACUCCAUUCAAUGUUACAUAUAAAAUAGUGUGAUCAAUCACAAUGUCCAUCUUUAGACAGUUGAUUAAAUAAAUUAUCUGGUCUUUGAAAAGACCGUGCUGGGCGCGGUGGCUCUUGCCUGUAAUCCCAGCACUUUGGGAGGCUGAGGUGGGCAGAUCACCUGAGAUCGGGAGUUUGAGACCAAGCCUGACCAAUAUGGAGAAACCCUGUCUCUACUAAGAAUACAAAAUUAGCUGGGCAUGGUGGUGCAUGCCUGUAAUCCCAGCUACUUGGGAGGCCGAGGCAGGAGAAUUGCUUGAACCCGGGAGGCAGAGGUUGCAGUGAGCUGAGAUAGCGCCAUUGCACUCCAGCCUGGGCAACAAGAGCAAAACUCUGUCUCAAAAAAAAA
rnacentral:lncRNA from 1 species